rnacentral:rRNA from 1 species
GACGAACGCUGGCGGCGUGCUUAACACAUGCAAGUCGAACGGAAAGGCCCUGCUUUUGUGGGGUGCUCGAGUGGCGAACGGGUGAGUAACACGUGAGUAACCUGCCCUUGACUUUGGGAUAACUUCAGGAAACUGGGGCUAAUACCGGAUAGGAGCUCCUGCUGCAUGGUGGGGGUUGGAAAGUUUCGGCGGUUGGGGAUGGACUCGCGGCUUAUCAGCUUGUUGGUGGGGUAGUGGAUUACCAAGGCUUUGACGGGUAGCCGGCCUGAGAGGGUGACCGGCCACAUUGGGACUGAGAUACGGCCCAGACUCCUACGUGAGGCAGCAGUGGGGAAUAUUGCACAAUGGGCGCACGCCUGAUGCAGCAACGCCGCGUGCGGGAUGACGGCCUUCGGGUUGUAAACCGCUUUCGCCUGUGACGAAGCGUGAGUGACGGUAAUGGGUAAAGAAGCACCGGCUAACUACGUG